rnacentral:rRNA from 1 species
AUUGAACGCUGGCGGCAGGCUUAACACAUGCAAGUCGAGCGGAGAUGAGGUGCUUGCACCUUAUCUUAGCGGCGGACGGGUGAGUAAUGCUUAGGAAUCUGCCUAUUAGUGGGGGACAACAUUCCGAAAGGAAUGCUAAUACCGCAUACGCCCUACGGGGGAAAGCAGGGGAUCUUCGGACCUUGCGAUAAUAGAUGAGCCUAAGUCGGAUUAGCAAGUUGGUGGGGUAAAGGCCUACCAAGGCGACGAGCUGUAGCGGGUCUGAGAGGAUGAUCCGCCACACUGGGACUGAGACACGGCCCAGACUCCUACGGGAGGCAGCAGUGGGGAAUAUUGGACAAUGGGCGGAAGCCUGAUCCAGCCAUGCCGCAUGUGUGAAGAAGGCCUUUUGGUUGUAAAGCACUUUAAGCGAGGAGGAGGCUACCUGGAUUAAUACUCUAGGAUAGUGGGCGUUACUCGCAGAAUAAGCACCGGCUAACUCUGUGCCAGCCGCCGCCGUAACAC